rnacentral:rRNA from 1 species
GAUGAACGCUGGCGGCGUGCCUAAUACAUGCAAGUCGAGCGAACAGACGAGGAGCUUGCUCCUCUGACGUUAGCGGCGGACGGGUGAGUAACACGUGGAUAACCUACCUAUAAGACUGGGAUAACUUCGGGAAACCGGAGCUAAUACCGGAUAACAUGUUGAACCGCAUGGUUUAACAGUGAAAGACGGUCUUGCUGUCACUUAUAGAUGGAUCCGCGCCGCAUUAGCUAGUUGGUAAGGUAACGGCUUGCCAAGGCAACGAUGCGUAGCCGACCUGAGAGGGUGAUCGGCCACACUGGAACUGAGACACGGUCCAGACUCCUACGGGAGGCAGCAGUAGGGAAUCUUCCGCAAUGGGCGAAAGCCUGACGGAGCAACGCCGCGUGAGUGAAGAAGGUCUUCGGAUCGUAAAACUCUGUUAUUAGGGAAGAACAAAUGUGUAAGUAACUAUGCACGUCUUGACGGUACCUAAUCAGAAAGCCACGGCUAACUACGUG